rnacentral:rRNA from 1 species
UACGAGAGCCUCGAGCGUUAUCCGGAAUUAUUGGGCGUAAAGGGUGCGUAGGUUGUUCUGUUAGUCUUUUGUUAAAACCCGGGGCUUAACUUCGGGAUCGCGAUAGAAACGGCAGAACUUGAAAGUGCGAGAGGCGUACGGAACUCAUGGUGUAGGGGUGAAAUCUGUUGAUAUCAUGGGGAACACCGAAAGCGAAAGCAGUACGCUGGCGCAUAUUUGACACUAAAGCACGAAAGCGUGGGUAGCGAAUGGG